GAGGGUGCAGCUCAGUGGUAGAGUGUAUGCUUCGCAUGCACGAGGACCUGGGUUCAAUCCCCGGUACCGCCA
rnacentral:tRNA from 1 species